CCAUAGCUCUCCUUCCCUCCUCCUCCCCCCUCUCUCUUGAUUUUACAGACGACUACUUGGGAAAACAUAAAAUAUAUUAAGAUAUUGACAUUUAUUAAUAUUAUACAACAGUAUGGAGAAAGUCCGUAAGCCAAGAAGGAACAAAAAGGCUUCUAUUUCUGCUCAGUGUUCCUCUUUUUUGCAUUCAGCCUCUUCUCUUCUGCAACUUCUCUCAUUCUGAAUUUAAUAGUUAAUUACAGUAAAUGUAAUACUAUAAAAUAUACUUGUUACUAUAGAUUUUUUUUUGCGAUAAUGAUACGGAAAGUUGGAGCAAAUAACAUGUUUGACCUUGGAUGUAUGUCUUCAGAGUCCCUUCAAAUAUUUAUGUAAUAGGCCAGAGGUCGGGAACCCCUGCCCGCAGCUCAUAUCGGCUCGCGACUGAAUUUUGACCGGGCCGUCAUCUUAUCAUGGACAAUCAUCUAAACAUAGACAUACUAAUCAAUCCAAAAUGACAGUUGAGCCUUAAGAAUUUUUUUUCUUUGUACCUGGAGAGUGUAGAUAAGAAAAUCCAAAUAUAGAUUUUUCUUAUAAAUUGUGUUUAUAUUUCUUUAUUAUGAUUCCGUUAGUAAAAAAUAGAUGUAUUGUUUAAAUAAAA
rnacentral:lncRNA from 1 species